rnacentral:rRNA from 1 species
UACGUAGGGGGCAAGCGUUGUCCGGAUUUACUGGGCGUAAAGAGCGUGUAGGCGGCCAAACAGGUCCGUUGUGAAAACUCGAGGCUCAACCUCGAGACGCCGAUGGAAACCAUCUGGCUAGAGUCCGGAAGAGGAGAGUGGAAUUCCUGGUGUAGCGGUGAAAUGCGCAGAUAUCAGGAAGAACACCCGUGGCGAAGGCGGCUCUCUAGUACGGUACUGACGCUGAGACGCGAAAGCGUGGGGAGCGAACAGG